UCGCUGAUGGCUUAGAUGAUAAAGAGUCUGCCUGCAAUGCAGGAGAUCCAGGUUCGAUCCCUGGGUCAGGAA
rnacentral:tRNA from 1 species